rnacentral:rRNA from 1 species
AGAGUUUGAUCAUGGCUCAGAUUGAACGCUGGCGGUAUGCUUAACACAUGCAAGUCGAACGGUAGCAGGCCUUCGGGCGCUGACGAGUGGCGGACGGGUGAGUAACGCGUAGGAAUCUGCCUCAUAGUGGGGGACAACGUGGGGAAACUCACGCUAAUACCGCAUACGCCCUACGGGGGAAAGCGGGGGCUCUUCGGACCUCGCGCUAUGAGAUGAGCCUGCGUUAGAUUAGCUAGUUGGUGGGGUAAAGGCCUACCAAGGCGACGAUCUAUAGCUGGUCUGAGAGGACGAUCAGCCACACUGGGACUGAGACACGGCCCAGACUCCUACGGGAGGCAGCAGUGGGGAAUAUUGGACAAUGGGCGGAAGCCUGAUCCAGCAAUACCGCGUGUGUGAAGAAGGCCUUAGGGUUGUAAAGCACUUUCAAUUGGGAGGAAAACCUACCGGUCAAUACCCGGUAGCUUGACAUUACCUUUAGAAGAAGCACCGGCUAACUCCGUGCCAGCAGCCGCGGUAAUACGGAGGGUGCGAGCGUUAAUCGGAAUUACUGGGCGUAAAGCGUGCGUAGGCGGUUCGUUAAGUCAGAUGUGAAAGCCCUGGGCUCAACCUGGGAACGGCAUUUGAAACUGGCGGACUAGAGUUUAGUAGAGGGGAGUGGAAUUUCAGGUGUAGCGGUGAAAUGCGUAGAUAUCUGAAGGAACACCAGUGGCGAAGGCGACUCCCUGGACUAGAACUGACGCUGAGGUACGAAAGCGUGGGUAGCAAACAGGAUUAGAUACCCUGGUAGUCCACGCCGUAAACGAUGUCGACUAGCCGUUGGUCCUAUUUACAGGAUUAGUGGCGCAGCUAACGCAUUAAGUCGACCGCCUGGGGAGUACGGGCCGCAAGGUUAAAACUCAAAUGAAUUGACGGGGGCCCGCACAAGCGGUGGAGCAUGUGGUUUAAUUCGAUGCAACGCGAAGAAUCUUACCUACUCUUGACAUCCAGAGAAUUUGUUAGAG